rnacentral:rRNA from 1 species
AGUGGCGGACGGGUGAGUAACGCGUGAGAAUCUGCCUUGGGGUCGGGGACAACCACUGGAAACGGUGGCUAAUACCGGAUAAGCCGAUUGGUGAAAGAUUUAUUGCCCGAAGAGGAGCUCGCGUCUGAUUAGCUAGUUGGUGAGGUAAGAGCUCACCAAGGCAGCGAUCAGUAGCUGGUCUGAGAGGACGAUCAGCCACACUGGGACUGAGACACGGCCCAGACUCCUACGGGAGGCAGCAGUGGGGAAUUUUCCGCAAUGGGCGAAAGCCUGACGGAGCAAGACCGCGUGAGGGAGGAAGGCUCUUGGGUUGUAAACCUCUUUUCUCAGGGAAGAAGCUCUGACGGUACCUGAGGAAUCAGCCUCGGCUAACUCCGUGCCAGCAGCCGCGGUAAUACGGAGGAGGCAAGCGUUAUCCGGAAUUAUUGGGCGUAAAGCGUCCGCAGGUGGCGAUUCAAGUCUGCUGUCAAAGCACGGGGCUUAACUCCGUAAAGGCAGUGGAAACUGAAUAGCUAGAGUGCCGUAGGGGUAGAGGGAAUCCCCGGUGUAGCGGUGAAAUGCGUAGAGAUCGGGAAGAACAUCGGUGGCGAAAGCGCUCUACUGGACGGCAACUGACACUCAGGGACGAAAGCUAGGGGAGCGAAUGGGAUUAGAUACCCC